AGCCGAUUCAAUUUGGAUUUAGCCGAGCAGAGAUUGAAUUGGCAUUUGCGGUGGCGAAAAAGAAACAAAAUGGAUACCAUUCAAGACGAAGAUUGGUCCGACAUGUAUGAUGAUGUUAAAUAUCAUACCGGGGGCCGAGAUAAAUUGGGACGACCGUACCUUCUCAUCGAAGCGAAGGAUAUCGACAUUCGAAAAGUAAUCUUGCAAGGAAAGGGCGAAAGAUAUCUCCGUUACGUGGACAAAGGUGUUGAAGAGGCGUGUCAACUUGUGUACGAAUUGGGUGAAAAGUACGGAAAUUUUACGCGUGGAAACACCCUCUAUAAUUUAGAUGGGUUUAACGUUGCUCAACAUGUCUGCCCCUUAUGUAAUUUUUUGUAUAAUUGAAUUAACGAUAAUAUUUAUAUUAAUUUAAUCAAAAUUAUGACUUAAUUUUUGCUAAAUGAAGGCAUGCCAUAUUUGAUGAGGGCACUGAUUUCAGUUUUAGAGCAUUGGCCGGGAUGCUUGGAUAAGUCGAUUGUUGUUCGAGCUCCGUCAACCGUCGAAAAUGCCGUUAAAAUUUUUGUAUCCCUCGUUUCCGAAGAAAUCCGCGGAAAUAUUCAUAUCUACGGAACGAACAAAAAUGUAUGGAUGACUGCGUUGUUGAAAGACUUUGACCUCGCCGAGCUACCUCCGUCACUCGGAGGGACUAAAAUUUUUGAGGGAAUGGACGAGUGAAGAUGCAUUGGAUAUAUUUAUAAGUAAAUUUUAUUUAUGAAAAAUUGCAAUAA